GAAAUAGGGAGGCCUUCGAGGGUGAUACACAGGUGCUGCAUGGCCGCCGUCAGCUCGUGUCGUGAGAUGUAGGGUUAAGUCCCGAAACGAGCGCAACCCCUAUUCUAUGUUACAAGUGUCUUAGAAAACCGCCUCGGUAAAACGAGGAGGAAGGUGGGGAUGACGUCUGGUCCGCAUAGCCCUUAUGUCCUGGGCUACACACGCGCUACAAUGGCCGAUACGGUAGGAAGCCAAAUCGUAAGAUGGAGCUAAUCCUUAAAGUCGGUCUCAGUUCGGAUUGAGGUCUGAAAUUCGACCUCAUGAAGUUGGAUUUGCUAGUAAUCGUAGAUCAGCAAUGCUACGGUGAAUACGUUCUCGGGUCUU
rnacentral:rRNA from 1 species